CUGACCUGCCCAAUGAGGAAUUCAAUGGCCGCAGUAUCUUAACUGUGCUAAGGUAGCAUAAUCAUUUGUCUUUUAAUUGAGGGCUGGAAUGAAAGGUUGGACGAAAUAUUGACUUUCUUUAAUUUAAUUUUAAGAAUUUAAUUUUUGAGUUAAAAAGCUUAAAUUUACUUGUUGGACGAGAAGACCCUAUAGAUCUUUAUAGUCUUAUAUUUUAAUAAUUUAGUGGUUAUAUUUAUUAUAAGUAAAAGGAUUAUUUUGUUGGGGUGACUGUAGAAUUUAAUAAACUUCUAUUAUAUUUUUCAUUGAUUAGUGUUUUUUUGAUCCAUAUAUUUGUGAU
rnacentral:rRNA from 2 species